rnacentral:rRNA from 1 species
CCUACGGGAGGCAGCAGUAGGGAAUAUUGCUCAAUGGGGGAAACCCUGAAGCAGCAACGCCGCGUGGAGGAUGAAGGUUUUCGGCUUGUAAACUCCUUUUGUUAGAGAAGAUAAUGACGGUAUCUAACGAAUAAGCACCGGCUAACUCCGUGCCAGCAGCCGCGGUAAUACGGAGGGAGCCAGCGUUACGCGGAAUCACUGGGCGUAAAGAGCGCGUAGGCGGGAUAGCAAGUCAGAUGUGAAAACCUAUGGCUUAACCAUAGAACUGCAUUUGAAACUGUUAUUCUAGAGAAUGGGAGAGGUAGGUGGAAUGCGUGGUGUAGGGGUAAAAUCCGUAGAGAUCAAGAGGAAUACUCAUUGCGAAGGCGACCUGCUAGAACAUAACUGACGCUGAUGCGCGAAAGCGUGGGGAGCAAACAGGAUUAGAUACCCCUGUAGUC